UGAGAAAAAAAGAAAUUAAAUAAAUCCAUCAUCACCCAAGGUGCAAGUGUCAUUUUCGUGCUAAACAUUUGCAUACGAACAAAGUAGAAAUGCUUUUGUAAGCCCCAAUAUUACUAUUAUUAUUAUGCCUGGAGUUCAAAUAUUAGGAAGAUUUGAAACAUCCCUUCGUGGUGGGGAUUCUCCCACUAUAGAUCGAAGGAUCCUUCACAAGGGCUGCUGUGGAGACACCCAUGGCCAUGGUGUUAAAAAAGAAAGGAGAUCCAUUACUCGAGAAUAUCCUGGGGGGCUUGAGUCUUCCAGUGAUGAGUCCUGGAACAAUAAUAGACAACCUGAUCUCAUUCUCUCAUCCCAUAAGAAAGCCCGCUCACAUUCCAUGGGAUGGAAUUCCGGUACGGAGCGACACAGUGGCUCUUCUAGAAGAUCCAAUUCCACAGCUGCUGUGCUUGUUUCAGAAAGACUUUUCUCUUCUCCAACAAAGGCUACCACAGCUAAAGUUCGUGCCGAAAGGAGUGCUUCGGAUGGAAGAGGCAUGCAGGCCAUUAUUGAGAGUUAUUCCUCGAACUCUCUCCCAAGAAGAGUCGAAAUCACAUAUGACAACUCUGAUGGAACAGAAAAGAGGGAUUCUGAGGAGGAUGAAGAGGAAGAAGACGAAGAAGAGGAAUUUCUUGGGAGCGCUGGGGGUCGAUGGAAAAAGAGGAAUCUGAUUACUCGACGUCAAUUCUCUUCUUGUUCACCUCUCAAAGCCUCUCGUCAAGAGUCUCCUUCCCCUUCAAGAAAGGAUAAUGGUUAUAUCCGUGGCAGAGGAUCGGAGGAAGAAAGAGGUGAAUCCUCUUCUACAAACUCUCCUCCAUGUACUCCCAUCAAACAUAAUCUCUCCACUCCAAAACUAUCAAGAACCAAAUCUAUUCCAAAAAGUCACGAGUGUCAACGAAAAAAUAAUGGUUAUGCCUUUGGCUCAAGUACGAGUCGUUUUGAUAAUGAAAGUCAUAAUAACAGCUUGAAGAAGAAAAGACUCAUGGGUGGAGGGGAUUACACAUCCUCCGAAAGUGGUGGAGGCUACUAUUCUAAACACUUGUUUCGAACCCGGAGUGAUUCUUCCGGGGUUUCUUCGAGGAAUUCAGACUCUAAAAACUCUGUGACUCAGGCCUGGCUCCAAUUUAAAGAAGAUAUUGAGUCUGCCAUGAGUAGAAAACCUAGACAAUCUGGUGGAUUCUAUAAGAACCUUGAGGAAUUGGUAUCAUUCAAGAAGAAGGUCUCACGAAAUCCCUCUCAUUUUAAUACUAAAAGCAGUCAGGCGAAAUCAGAAGAGCAAUUAAACAGUGAAAAAUCAUUUCUAGAAGUUGAAAGAGCCUGGCUUGUUCAUAAAGAUGGAUUUUCAUCAGCCAGUCAACUCAAAAGUGACCAAGAUCUCCCUGAAGGAAAAGUAAGGAUUCAAUUAGACUACAAUGGAGAUGUUUUGGAGGUGGAAGAGGAUGACGUGGAGAAAGCGAAUCCUCCAGGAUAUGAUAAAGUGGAGGAUCUGGCUCAGCUACGUUACCUCAACGAAUCGUCGGUUCUUAAUACACUUCGACAACGAUAUGGGAAUAACCUAAUUCAUACUUAUGCUGGACCUUCCCUGAUAUCUAUUAAUCCAAUGUCCCCUCUAGCUAUUUAUAGUGAUAAAGUAAUUCAAAUGUUUAAAGAAUGUAAGACAGAGGAUAUGCCUCCGCACAUUUAUUCUGUUGCACAAUUGUCUUAUCGGUCCAUGCUGUCGACCCGUAAAGAUCAAUCCAUUGUUUUUAUUGGCCGUUCUGGUUCAGGAAAAACUACAAAUGUAAAGCAUAUGCUCAGUUACUUUACUAAAACGUCCGGAAAUAAGCAAGUUAUUACCACUGAGAAAGUAAAUGCCAUUUAUGUGCUAUUGGAGGCUUUUGGGCAUUCCAGAACAAAUUUAAAUUCGAAUGCCAGCAGAUUUACCGAAUUAAUUAGCUUAGAUUUUGAUGCUUCUGGAGGAUUAAUCUCUGCGUCCAUACAGGCUAUGAUGCUUGAGAAGACGCGAGUGGUUCGACGACCUGAUGGUGAACCUAAUUUUAAUAUAUUUUACCAUUUACUUAUGGGGAGUGACUCGUCCACUCGAAAAGACUUAAUGCUCGACAAUCUCAAUGAACCUAAUUUAUUUGUCACUCAGCUUCAAAAGCCAGAUGAUAAAUCGAAAGUAAUCUGGAACAAAAUUCAGUCUGCAAUCAAAGUUCUCGGAAUCUCUAGUCAUGAAGCUCAUUCCCUAUGGUCUGUCCUAGCUGCCAUUUUUCAUUUAGGAACUGCCUCCGUUACUCGUGGAACGAUGGGAAAAUCUUUAUUUGCUCGCCCACAAGCUGGUCAGAAAGCAGCUCAGUGCCUUGGUACUUCAAGCGAAGAAUUAGCGAGAAAUAUAUUUCAAGGAACGUCAUCCACAUCCAUUCGAUCUAAAAGUCGUGAUUCUUCAUUUCGUUCGAGCGAUUUAACAAAUUUGCCCGACGGAAUUGAUUCCCUCCAUGGCUUUGUUAUUGGGCUUUAUCAAGAAGUCUUUAACACGCUCAUUUACAUGAUAAAUAGAUGUAUAUCAGACCCUAUUGCAAAUACAUUCAACUCUGUCUAUAUUUUGGACACACCUGGCUUUCAAAAUCCUGCUUCUUGCGGUCGAAUUAAAGGAGCAUGUUUCGAAGAAUUAUGCCAUAACUAUGUUCAAGAAAGACUUCAGCUAUUAUUCCACAAGAGGAAUAUCAGCUCUCAGUAUGAAAAAUACCUUCAAGAACAAGUGGAACCCGAUGUUGGUGAUCUUGAUGAUAUUGGUUCACCGGAGAGUAUGGUUUCCCUAUUAGAUAAACAGCCUGGAACUAGGUCAUCCCAGACAGAUCUUUCAUCAACAGAACGUAGAGGCCUUCUUUGGUUGCUUGAUGAAGAAGCUCUAUUUCCAGGUGCUUCUGACGAAACAUUUGUUGAAAGACUAUUACUUCAGUACAAUCAAAGAGGAUCUGACGAAUUGCUUAAGAGAGGUCUUGGCGAAAAACAAUUUGUUCUUCAGCACUUUCAAGGGACAAAUCCAGUACUUUAUAAUGCUGAGGGUUGGCUUUCUUCAUCAAGAGAGGAUGUUGCUUUGUUAAAAGCUGCUGGGAAUAUACUAACUGAGUCCAACACGAAAAGCAUCUCCGAAUUAUAUUCCUCUUCUAGAGGUCCAGGUUCAACAUCUGUUUCAGGAUCUGUUGCUGGUUUAGAAGGCUCUAUUUCGUUAAGGAGAGCCUCUUCAAUAAGAAGGGCUUUUACAACAGGGGGCCACGCAGGAAUUAAACGCCAUUCAAUUGCUCUUCAACAAAAAUUUCUUUUAGAUGGCGUUUUGGAACAACUUAGACGAACAAAAGUUCAUUUUGUCCAGUGCUUUUUACCACAACAUGGAGCGGGCCUAUGUGAUAUUGUUGGGCGAUCUGCCAGCAAGGGAUCAAAUUCAUCAACGUCGUCCUCAAUUGGAAGUGGAGAUUCCCUGUCUUUAGAGGCUAAUAAUAGCAAUGUUCUCAUGAAUAUACCUUUGGUCCGAUCUCAGGUCCGAGGAGGUCAAAUCCUAGACUCUGUUCGUUUAUUCAAAAAUGGAUAUCCUGAGAGUAUUCCCUACGCAUUAUUUUGGAGAAGGUUCCAUGUCCUUGGUGAAAAUGCAAAUCAAGGACUAACAGAGCCACCGAGGAACGUAGAUCACCUCAAAACUGCUGUGUCAGAGAUAUUCUCAUUCCUUGACUUAGAUUCCUCGGCUUAUCGACUUGGAAAUUCGCAGGUAUUUCUAAGAGCGGGUGUCUACGCACAUUUAGAGCAAGAGAGGGACGAUAAACUACAGGAUCAAAUCACAAAUCUUCAAGCACUUUGUAGGGGCUAUCUCGCGAGGAAAAAAAUACAAAAAUUGAAGGUUCAAGACAUUGCCAUUCGUUGCAUACAGAAAAAUGUUCGCAAAUUCAUGGGUGUACGAGGAUGGCAUUGGUGGCGUCUUCUUAUCAAAAUUACGCCCAUGCUUAACGUACACAGAACAGAAGAUCAACUCAAAUCCAAGAUAAAUGAGCUGGAAAAUAUUAAAAUUAAAUUGGAAAAGUUUGAAAAAGACAACAAGGAGUAUAAAAUCCGCAAUGAACGCCUCGAUGCAAAGUUGAGCGAAAUGACCGCCGAUCUUGCCGAAGAACAUUCUACAGCGACUCUGGCAACAGAGCGGCUGGAAGUGGAACAAACCGAGAGAAUGAAAUUGGCGAAGGAAAGAGACGAUCUUAGUACUACGAACAAGAGACUUCUUGGUACAAACGCGAGAAUGGAGACAGAGUUAUUGUAUAGUCGAGCUGUUGAUUUAAAUGGUCUCCCCGGGUUCGAUGAUGUCGACGAAGACGGUGAGCCUUCCUUUUAUAAACAGAAAUAUGAGAGGGCUAUGAAAGAAUUAGAACUCGCUAAAAAGAGACUUCAACAACAGCAUGAGGAUGAUUUAGAGCAAUUAAUGGCUGUCAAAAAACAACUAGAGAAAAAGCUCUACGAUGCAUAUGAAGAGGUGGAUGAACAACGUAAUAUUGUAGCUCAAUGGAAACGAAAAACCCAAAAAGCUCAAGGAGAGAGCAAUGAUUUCAAACAUUUAUAUGAAGAACAAUCCUCUCGUAACGUACUCCUCGAAAAGAAGCAACGGAAAUUUGAUGCUGAGAUUGCAUCUCUUAUUGAGGAAAAUAAGAAGGAAAUUGUGUCCAAAGAGAAGCUCCAAAGAGAAAUUGAUAAUAUCAAAAACGUCAAAUACUCCCUUGAAGAUCAGGUCCAUGCUCUAAAAUUGGAUUUGGAGUUCAAAGACGAGAAAAUAAAUGCCUUAAAUAAGGAGUUGGAGGAACUUCAUAACGGAGGAGCAGUCGAAGAAGAGAUUGCUUCAUUGAAGAAACAUAAAGCUGAGUUAGAUGCCCGUCUCAUGGAUCAGGAGGAAGAAUUGGAUGACUUGGCGGGUCAAGUUCAAAUGCUUGAGCAAUCCAAAAUCAAGCUGGAAAUGUCUAUAGCUGCCCAAAAGAAGGAACAUCGCAAGGAAUUGAGCUCCAAGGAAGAGGAGCUUGAGGAUGCGCGUGCUGCUGCUCAGAAAAGGGUUAAAGCAUUGGAACAACAAUUAGAAAAUGAACAUGAGGAAAGAAUGGGAUUUGUCCGAGAAAAACACGAUUUAGAAACCAAAAUAAUGAAUCUGCAGGAAUUAGCAUCCAGAUCCACAGAUGAAGAAUAUGUUAUCAAACUCAAAAAGGACUUGAAGAAAACAAAGGCUCUUCUAAAGGAUGCUCAAUGCAUGAUUGAUAAAAGUAGAAACGACUCUUCCAACAAAAUUGUCCUUCGGCAGCUAAAGAAUCAGUUGGAAGAUGCUGAAUUUGCAAAAACAGCUGCUGUUAAAUGUCGUCAAAAUACAGAAAUGGAACUCACAGAGGUCCAACAACAACUGGACGACGUUAUGCGAUCCAAAAAUGAUCUUGAAGAUAAAAUGAUGAGGAUUUGUCGAGAAAAGUCGGAUGCUCAAACUCAACUCGAAGAUAACGAAGAAGAGUUAAGCGAUAUAAUGAAGAAAUACAAAUCAGCAGUUUCUCAAUUAUCUGUGGAUCAGAUAACCAUUACACAACAAACUCAACAAAUAACAGAGUUGGAAGAAGAACGCCAUCGAUUAAAAGAAACCUUGAGUGAACUUAAUCAAAAGAUUGAUAAUCUUGAGAGUGACAACAUAUCUAGUGUUACUCAUUCCCGUCUUGAAUUAAAGAUUCGUGAGCUUGAAUCCAAGUUGGAACUGGAACAAGCCACCCGUGGUCGAAUGGAAACUCAGAUUGGCAGAUUAAAAGAAGCAAUUGAGAAAUAUAAUCAUGAGUGUGACAUACUUAGAAAUAAAGAGUUGAACAGUCAGGACAUGGCUCGUAAACUUCAGCGUCAACUCCGCGAUUCCAAAGAAGACUAUGCUUCUUUGGCUCAAAAGGAAAUGGAGACCAAUGCCAAAAAGUUUGAAUAUGAGAAGCAACUUGAACUUUCUGAAUCUGAGGUGAUCACAGUUAAAAACGACUUGAAGAUUGCCUUGAAGAGAAUUGAACAUCUACAGACUGCUAUGCAAGGAGAUUUGUCAUCUGAAACAGACUCUGUUAGUGACGGAGAAAGUGAUAUGUCCGAUGAUGGAGUUGAUGUAUUCUUGGAACACCAUCGUCGAGCUGUCAGUGUUCAAAGAGAACGCGAGAGUAUGGCAAGAGAGCUCUCAGCUCAAAGGGAGUUGCGGGCUUCAAUGGUUAGAGAAAUGAGUCUUAAACCCUUGGAAACUAUGUCAGAGCACCCUGAAGAAACGCAUUAAAUCAAUUUUAGUAGUCCAUUUUCGAUACAAUUUACAUAUUUAUUCUUCCAUGAGCCGGCCCUGAAAAAAACCCAGAAAGAAAAUCCCAAUUUCUCCUCUCCCUGAAAAAUACAUUGAAGAUGAGGAGGAUACUGUAGCAAGAUCUCCUCCAGCACCCCAGAAGUCUCCAUCACUUCAAUUACAUGAUGAGGUACAUUUGGAAGGAGGAGAGUCUCAAGCCUAAAUUCCUUUCGGCUUGAAAAACAACAUACACCAACUACAACACAAAGACCCCUAAACAUCUCCAUGUAAAUGACUCUUUGCAAACAAAAAAGAAAAGAAAAUCUGUGAUUCAUAUAUUACAAAAUAAUUUUGAUUUUUUAAAUAAGUAAAUAAUUAGAAUAAUUUAUUAAACUAUGAAAUGAAUGAUUUAAAAAAAGGUGCUAUUUCUCUUUGAGACGACCCUCUCCCCAUCUUUCUUUUUUUAGAAUAAUUACAUCAUCUUUUCGCGAAAAAGGUAAAUGAAAGAUCAAACAUCACUCCUCACAGCUUUGUUAUCUAUUGAAAAUGACUUAUCCCUAUCCCCUCCUCCCUUCUUAUUACUCUAAAUGCUGGUGAUAUCUGCAUUCUGUAUUCUGAUUAUAGUAGUAGUCUGUCUUAUUAUUAUUAUUAUUCUCCUUUUUCUAGUGACUUAUGAAUCCUAUGCAUAUUCAACAUUUUUAUAUUCUUUCUAUUAUUAUAUCGCCAAAACGCUUUAUUAUUAUUACUAUUGAAAUUAUUCUUACUUAAUAUCUAUUAUUAUCUAGCUACAUAAUAUAUACACACAUUUCCCUCCCAUCUUUUCUCCUUUUAAAAGGACGUUCAAUAUGUCGUCUCUCUCCCUCUCUGUCAAGUAAUGUUAUGUGACUACUGGCAAAUGAAAUAAGAAAAACCAUGAUGAUGAUGAUGGUGAUUAAUUAACUAAUACCAUCUAUCCUCAUUAUUAUUAUUAUUUAAGCAAUUAUUUAAAAAAGCAAGUUCUUACUGUAAAAGUUAAUUAUUUAUAAAAUCCCAAUUACUUGUAUAAUUAUUAAAUAUCCCUCCUCCUCCUCCAGCUUAAAUAUACAGCCCCUUUGUUUAAGAAAAAAAUUUUACAACACACCACACUCAAGAAAAGAAAAUCUUUGAAGGUGACUAACAAUUGUUCACUUUAAGUUUUUUGUAUGUACAGUUUCUUAUUUCGUAAUAUUAUUAAUGUUAUAAGAAGAGAAGAAAAUAAAACGAUACAUUAUAUUAUUUAGAAAAAACAAAA
rnacentral:misc_RNA from 1 species